rnacentral:rRNA from 1 species
AUUGAACGCUGGCGGCAGGCCUAACACAUGCAAGUCGAGCGAGCGGCGGAAGUGUGAGCAAUGUCUGGGACUCUGCCUGGUGGAUGGGGAUAACAACCGGAAACGGUAGCUAAUACCGCAUACCAUCACCUGUGCCCAGAUGGGUUUAGCUAGUAGGUGGGGUAAUGGCUCACCUAGGCGACGAUCCCUAGCUGGUCUGAGAGGAUGACCAGCCACACUGGAACUGAGACACGGUCCAGACUCCUACGGGAGGCAGCAGUGGGGAAUAUUGCACAAUGGGCGCAAGCCUGAUGCAGCCAUGCCGCGUGUGUGAAGAAGGCCUUCGGGUUGUAAAGCACGUUCAGCGAGGAGGCGUUACUCGCAGAAGAAGCACCGGCUAACUCCGUGCCAGCAGCCGCGGUAAUAC